CUGCCUACUCUGCAGGGGUGAGAUACCAUGAUCAUGAAGGUAGUUCACCCAGGCGCAGGCCUGGCCAUUGCACCCUCGGUUGUGCUGGAUCUAAGACUUCAAAUGUGGGAAUCGACUCAGCAUAAUUUGAGGUAGUGGGACUGCGCCCGCGCCUCCCUG